rnacentral:rRNA from 1 species
GACGAACGCUGGCGGCGUGCCUAACACAUGCAAGUCGAACGGAACUGUUUUGAAAGAUUUCUUCGGAAUGAAUUUGAUUUAGUUUAGUGGCGGACGGGUGAGUAACGCGUGAGUAACCUGCCUUCAAGAGGGGAAUAACAUUCUGAAAAGAAUGCUAAUACCGCAUGACAUAUCGGAACCGCAUGGUUUUGAUAUCAAAGAUUUUAUCGCUUGAAGAUGGACUCGCGUCCGAUUAGUUAGUUGGUGAGGUAACGGCUCACCAAGACCGCGAUCGGUAGCCGGACUGAGAGGUUGAACGGCCACAUUGGGACUGAGACACGGCCCAGACUCCUACGGGAGGCAGCAGUGGGGGAUAUUGCGCAAUGGGGGCAACCCUGACGCAGCAACGCCGCGUGAAGGAUGAAGGUUUUCGGAUUGUAAACUUCUUUUAUUAAGGACGAAAAAUGACGGUACUUAAUGAAUAAGCUCCGGCUAACUACGUG